CAGCAGCCGCGGUAAUACGAAGGGGGCUAGCGUUGUUCGGAAUCACUGGGCGUAAAGGGCGCGUAGGCGGCGCGACAAGUCAGGCGUGAAAGCCCCGGGCUCAACCCGGGAAUUGCGCUUGAUACUGUCGUGCUUGAGGCCGGGAGAGGAUGGCGGAAUUCCCAGUGUAGAGGUGAAAUUCGUAGAUAUUGGGAAGAACACCGGUGGCGAAGGCGGCCAUCUGGACCGGUUCUGACGCUGAGGCGCGAAAGCGUGGGGAGCAAACAGGAUUAGAUACCCUGGUAGUCCACGCCGUAAACGAUGAGUGCUAGACGUCGGGGGGUUCACCCUCCGGUGUCGCAGCUAACGCUUUAAGCACUCCGCCUGGGGAGUACGGUCGCAAGAUUGAAACUCAAAGGAAUUGACGG
rnacentral:rRNA from 1 species